rnacentral:rRNA from 1 species
UACGUAGGGUGCAAGCGUUGUCCGGAAUCAUUGGGCGUAAAGAGCGUGUAGGCGGCUCGAUCAGUCCGCUGUAAAAGUCCAGGGCUCAACCCUGGGAUGCCGGUGGAAACUGUCGGGCUAGAGUCCGGGAGAGGCGAGUGGAAUUCCUGGUGUAGCGGUGAAAUGCGCAGAUAUCAGGAGGAACACCGAUGGCGAAGGCAGGUCUCUGGGCCAUUACUGACACUGAGAAGCGAAAGCAUGGGGAGCGAACAGG